rnacentral:rRNA from 1 species
GACCCCUUAUAGUGGAAUAAAACUUCGGUCGAGUGAAGCUAUAGAGAGCGGCGGACGGGUGAGUAACGCGUAGGCAACCUGCCCCAUACAGAGGGAUAGCCUCGGGAAACCGGGAUUAAAACCUCAUAACGCAGCGAGUUCACAUGGACUAGCUGCCAAAGAUUUAUCGGUAUGGGAUGGGCCUGCGUCUGAUUAGCUAGUUGGUGAGGUAACGGCUCACCAAGGCGACGAUCAGUAGCCGACCUGAGAGGGUAAUCGGCCACAUUGGAACUGAGACACGGUCCAAACUCCUACGGGAGGCAGCAGUGGGGAAUAUUGCACAAUGGGCGAAAGCCUGAUGCAGCAACGCCGCGUGAGCGAUGAAGGCCUUUGGGUCGUAAAGCUCUGUCCUUGGGGAAGAAACAAAUGACGGUACCCUUGGAGGAAGCCCCGGCUAACUACGUGCCAGCAGCCGCGGUAAUACGUAGGGGGCGAGCGUUAUCCGGAAUUAUUGGGCGUAAAGAGUGCGUANGUGGCCAUGUAAGCGCGGGGUGAAAGGCAAUAGCUUAACUAUUGUAAGCCUUGCGAACUGUGUGGCUUGAGUGCAGGAGAGGAAAGUGGAAUUCCUAGUGUAGCGGUGAAAUGCGUAGAUAUUAGGAGGAACACCAGUGGCGAAGGCGACUUUCUGGACUGUACUGACACUGAGGCACGAAAACCUGGGGAGCAAACAGGAUUA